UGGGCAACUGUGGCUCCAUAGUAUAGUAAUAGAACCUACUUCUCUCUGCUCGCUUCUCUUACUCUCUAAGUUGGCACUCGCAUCGCCACCAUUUUACUGCGCACCCAAUCCGUAGUGGAUCCUGACUCAGCAGUGAAUUGUAAGCCAAUCGAAGUAAAGAAAAUUUCUAUGUCGAACCUCGUUUACGAAUCAAUCUGUGGCCUGAAGAUGUGCAGGAUUAGGACCCAUUGCCGUACAUAUAAGGAGAGUCUCCUUGAGAGGGAGAUGAUCUGCAUGAAAAUUAAAACUGUGAAACUGUAAAACAUCGAAAAGAUCAAAAUCGGAGCACGGUAAAACAAGAAUAAGUUUAAUACGUAUAAAUGCAAGAAUCGCAACUACGAUCUAUGAAUUUUGUAUCUCUUAUUAUUGAAAUGUUGUAGAUGUCCAAAAAAAUAAUCAAAGGUUAUAAAGUGACAUAAAGAAAAAUGUUAGUAGUUUCGCGUGUUCGGACAAAACGGAAAAUGGUAUCACACGAUAAAAGUAUGGGAUUUGGGAUUAGUAGGAAUUAAACACAAACUUGCUGACAACGCAAGUUUUUUUACAUUUUUUUUGCCUUUAUGUCGCUCUGUAGUAACAGCGUCCGCCGACUGGCAUAUUAGGUUAUACAACCCGAGAUCUAUAGGCAUGCUUGUGAAAACAUUAUUCACUUGUCACAUGCGAUGACUACAAUAUAUGUAUGUGAAGUGAUCAUGGAUGAGAAUUUAUUUAUUUUAAAAGCAUACGAUAACGACAUGAAACUUUGGUACACUAAAAACUCCAAAACAUCGUUAUUCGAUCUAUUCGAACACGAAAAAAAAGGCUUAUGCUGCAAUUGGUUGAAUCAAAUAUUUAUGGUAUCGGAGAUGCAGAUAACGCUGCAAAACUAUUUCAAUCGAAACACGUCUAUCGCUAAUGACAAAUUAACGACACGUCCAGAUUAACCGAUGUAUUCGUUUAAAUGAAAACAUUGAAAAGUUCAAUGUACAUAUUGCCGCAAUAAAACCUACCGAUCGGAUCGUGUAAUCGCUAUAAAAGAACGAGAUAGAAACGAACGACUGCUCACGCUUGCGGUUACAACGGCGUAUUUGAAAUAAACGUGAAUGCGAAAAACCAAAUACUGUCCAUGCUUGAACAGUACAUGAUUACUUUCGUAGGAAUAAACGUGAUUCACGAAAUUAUAAGGAAAAAGAAAACAAAGAGAAGCACGAGAUUUUGGUAAAAAUAUUGUACGGCCCAAGAAAUAGCUCUCAGCAUCGUCAAAUAAAAAUUCCCACUUUUAUUUCAAUGAUCUCUUUCGCAA